UACGUAGGGUGCAAGCGUUGUCCGGAUUUAUUGGGCGUAAAGAGCUCGUAGGCGGCUUGUCGCGUCGACCGUGAAAACUCGCAGCUCAACUGCGAGCCUGCGGUCGAUACGGGCAGGCUAGAGUUCGGUAGGGGAGACUGGAAUUCCAGGUGUAGCGGUGAAAUGCGUAGAUAUCUGGAGGAACACCGGUGGCGAAGGCGGCAUCCUGGACCAACACUGACACUGAGGAGCGAAAGCCAGGGGAGCAAACGGG
rnacentral:rRNA from 1 species